GGGUGCCUACGGGGGGCAGCAGUAGGGAAUCUUCCACAAUGGGCGCAAGCCUGAUGGAGCAACACCGCGUGAGUGAAGAAGGGUUUCGGCUCGGAAAGCUCUGUUGUUGGAGAAGAAAGUGCGGGAGAGUAACUGUUCAAGCAGUGACGGUAUCCAACCAGAAAGUCAAGGCUAACUACGUGCCAGCAGCCGCGGUAAUACGUAGGUGGCAAACGUUAUCCGGAUUUAUUGGGCGUAAAGCGAGCG
rnacentral:rRNA from 1 species